AUACGUAGGGGGCGAGCGUUGUCCGGAAUGAUUGGGCGUAAAGGGCGCGUAGGCGGCCCGGUAAGUCUGGAGUGAAAGUCCUGUUUUUAAGAUGGGAAUUGCUUUGGAUACUGUCGGGCUUGAGUGCAGGAGAGGUAAGUGGAAUUCCCAGUGUAGCGGUGAAAUGCGUAGAGAUUGGGAGGAACACCAGUGGCGAAGGCGACUUACUGGACUGUAACUGACGCUGAGGCGCGAAAGUGUGGGGAGCAAACAGGAUUAGAUACCCUGGUAGUCCACACUGUAAACGAUGAAUGCUAGGUGUAGGGGGUAUCGACCCCUUCUGUGCCGCAGUCAACACAAUAAGCAUUCCGCCUGGGGAGUUCGGCCGCAAGGUUGAAACUCAAAGGAAUUGACGGGG
rnacentral:rRNA from 1 species